rnacentral:rRNA from 1 species
GCUGAACGCUGGCGCACUGCUUAACACAUGCAAGUCGAACGGAAUCCUUCGGGAUUAAGUGGCAGACGGUUGAGUAACGCGUGGGAAUAUUACUUCAGGUCCGGGUCAACAGUUGGAAACGGCUGCGAAUACCGGAUGUUCCGGGUGGUGAAAGCUUUAGUGCCUGAGGAUGAGCUCGCGUCUGAUAAGCUAGUAGGAGUGGUAAUGGCACCCCUAGCGACGAUCAGUAGCUGGUCUACGAGGAUGAUCAGCCACACUGGGACUGCGACACGGCCCACACUCCUACGGGAGGCAGCAGUGGGGAAUUUUCCGCAAUGGGCGCAAGCCUGACGGAGCAAGACCGCGUGAGGUAAGAAUGUCUGUGGAUUGUAAACCUCUUUUGAUGGGGAAGAAUACAGUGACGGUACCCAUCGAAUCAGCCUCGGCUAACUCCGUGCCAGCCGCCGCCGUAA